rnacentral:rRNA from 1 species
CCUACGGGGUGCAGCAGUGGGGAAUAUUGGACAAUGGGCGAAAGCCUGAUCCAGCCAUGCCGCGUGUGUGAAGAAGGCCUUCGGGUUGUAAAGCACUUUCAGUGGGGAAGAAAGCCUUGGGGCUAAUACCCUCGAGGAAGGACAUCACCCACAGAAGAAGCACCGGCUAACUCCGUGCCAGCAGCCGCGGUAAUACGGAGGGUGCGAGCGUUAAUCGGAAUUACUGGGCGUAAAGCGCGCGUAGGCGGUCUGAUAAGCCGGUUGUGAAAGCCCCGGGCUCAACCUGGGAACGGCAUCCGGAACUGUCAGGCUAGAGUGCAGGAGAGGAAGGUAGAAUUCCCGGUGUAGCGGUGAAAUGCGUAGAGAUCGGGAGGAAUACCAGUGGCGAAGGCGGCCUUCUGGACUGACACUGACGCUGAGGUGCGAAAGCGUGGGUAGCAAACAGGAUUAGAUACCCCGGUAUC